UGGGGGAUAUUGCACAAUGGGCGAAAGCCUGAUGCAGCGACGCCGCGUGGGGGAUGAAGGCUUUCGGGUUGUAAACCUCUUUCGCUAUCGAACAAGGCCCGCUUAGGGUGGGUUGAGGGUAGGUGGAGAAGAAGCGCCGGCUAACUACGUGCCAGCAGCCGCGGUAAUACGUAGGGCGCGAGCGUUGUCCGGAAUUAUUGGGCGUAAAGGGCUUGUAGGCGGCUUGUUGCGCCUGCUGUGAAAACGAGGGGCUUAACUUCGCGCGUGCAGUGGGUACGGGCAGGCUUGAGUGUGGUAGAGGUGACUGGAAUUCCAGGUGUAGCGGUGGAAUGCGCAGAUAUCUGGAGGAACACCGAUGGCGAAGGCAGGUCACUGGGCCAUUACUGACGCUGAGGAGCGAAAGCAUGGGUAGCGAACAGG
rnacentral:rRNA from 1 species